GUGGGGAAUUUUGGACAAUGGGCGAAAGCCUGAUCCAGCCAUGCCGCGUGCAGGAUGAAGGCCUUCGGGUUGUAAACUGCUUUUGUACGGAACGAAAAGACUCCUUCUAAUAAAGGGGGUCCAUGACGGUACCGUAAGAAUAAGCACCGGCUAACUACGUGCCAGCAGCCGCGGUAAUACGUAGGGUGCAAGCGUUAAUCGGAAUUACUGGGCGUAAAGCGUGCGCAGGCGGUUAUAUAAGACAGAUGUGAAAGCCCCGGGCUCAACCUGGGAACUGCAUUUGUGACUGUAUAGCUAGAGUACGGUAGAGGGGGAUGGAAUUCCGCGUGUAGCAGUGAAAUGCGUAGAUAUGCGGAGGAACACCGAUGGCGAAGGCAAUCCCCUGGACCUGUACUGACGCUCAUGCACGAAAGCGUGGGGAGCAAACAGGAUUAGAAACCCGGGUAGUCC
rnacentral:rRNA from 1 species